rnacentral:rRNA from 1 species
GAUGAACGCUGGCGGCGUGCCUAAUACAUGCAAGUCGAGCGAACAGACGAGGAGCUUGCUCCUCUGACGUUAGCGGCGGACGGGUGAGUAACACGUGGAUAACCUACCUAUAAGACUGGGAUAACUUCGGGAAACCGGAGCUAAUACCGGAUAAUAUAUUGAACCGCAUGGUUCAAUAGUGAAAGACGGUUUUGCUGUCACUUAUAGAUGGAUCCGCGCCGCAUUAGCUAGUUGGUAAGGUAACGGCUUACCAAGGCAAGGAUGCGUAGCCGACCUGAGAGAGUGAUCGGCCACACUGGAACUGAGACACGGUCCAGACUCCUACGGGAGGCAGCAGUAGGGAAUCUUCCGCAGUGGGCGAAAGCCUGACGGAGCAACGCCACGUGAGUGAUGAAGGUCUUCGGAUCGUAAAACUCUGUUAUUAGGGAAGAACAAAUGUGUAAGUAGCUAUGCACGUCUUGACGGUACCUAAUCAGAAAGCCACGGCUAACUACGUG